GACGGAGGAUGCAAGCGUUAUCCGGAAUGAUUGGGCGUAAAGCGUCCGCAGGUGGCAGUUCAAGUCUGCUGUCAAAGACCGGGGCUUAACUUCGGAAAGGCAGUGGAAACUGAACAGCUAGAGUAUGGUAGGGGCAGAGGGAAUUCCCGGUGUAGCGGUGAAAUGCGUAGAGAUCGGGAAGAACAUCGGUGGCGAAGGCGCUCUGCUGGACCAUAACUGACACUCAGGGACGAAAGCUAGGGGAGCGAAUGGG
rnacentral:rRNA from 1 species